CUUCCACAGUAACUUUCUAUAGCUGGCAAAGAGCCCUGCACAAAGACCAUGCUAUCUAAACCUCUUGUCUUUACCCAAAUCAGUACUGACCUGAGGAAGAACCGAACCUGGCUUUCUAAGGAUGCUUUUGGAUGUCUUCGAGCAGGGAUGUUGAAUAUGAUUGUUAUUUACAGUCUUGGAGCUUUCAUCCUGAAGAGCCUGAACAAACAGCCAAUGAUAGGUGUGGAGCUGCUUGGCCUGGACCAGCCAGCCUUGGAUAGAGCAGGUAGAGGGAAAACAAAUGCUAAAAGGAGCACACACCUUUGAAGUCCUAGUUUUGUAGAAAUGUAUCCUUCCUCUUAUCCUUUUCUGCCUUAUUCUCUUUUGCAUCAGUAAGCAUUCAAGGACAUCAUCACUCUUGUCAUUUCUAGAGAUCAGUAGGGUUAGGUUUACCUUUUCGAGAUACCUUCUAGACCACCAUGUCACUUAUAUUAUCCAGCUGGUCAUUGGCACCAUUACCCUGAUUUUCACACAGGCCAGAAAGAGCUCCUGAAGACUGAAGUAGUUAAAGCCACAAGGGCAGAUCUGGCAAGCAGAUCAGUUUAGGUUUGUCUUACCCUGUUGCACCAUAAGGCAUUUGGUUUGGGGAGGGAUGAUCCAACCCAGAGUCUCACACAUUCUAGGCCAGCAUUUACCACAGAGCUAUACAAAAAAAAAAAAACCCUAUUUUAUUGUUAAUUGAAAUUUAAAUAGGGGCAGUUGUACAGGGCAGUAUAGGUAGAGGAAGGUGGUCCCCAUCCCCGUGGUAUUUUCACUUACUGGCCUGGAUGCAUAAAGAUGGUCACUUCUGAAAUUGCAAACUGUGGCAGAUGCUUCUGAUUCCUCUCAUGUAAAUCUAGGCAACCUUGGAUGUGAAUUCUAACUUAACCCGACAGCUUUGAAAUCAAGCAAGUUUCCUGCUGCAUAUAGGUCCUGUAUAAAUAUUAACAUGCACAGUAAUUCUCUUCACCAUAAAAUAAAAAUUAAAAGCUUCUGUGAAAAUUAAUGCUU
rnacentral:lncRNA from 1 species